rnacentral:rRNA from 1 species
AAAGGGUGCGUAGGCGGCCUGUUAAGUCAGGGGUGAAAGACGGUAGCUCAACUAUCGCAGUGCCCUUGAUACUGACGGGCUUGAAUGGACUAGAGGUAGGCGGAAUGUGACAAGUAGCGGUGAAAUGCAUAGAUAUGUCACAGAACACCGAUUGCGAAGGCAGCUUACUAUGGUUUUAUUGACGCUGAGGCACGAAAGCGUGGGGAUCAAACAGGAUUAGAUACCCCGGU